rnacentral:lncRNA from 1 species
ACUGACGUAGGACGCGCGCCUCCCAGGUGCCAGAGUUCGUAUAUGACUCCAGUCCUGGCGCUGGAUGCUGCUGCUGUUCCAGCUUCCUAGGUGUGGAAACUGAAGGACCAAGAGAUUAAACAGGAAUCUCUGAGGACAAAUGGGAAUUCUCACUGAUUUCUAGGACUACCCUGGGGCAGGCACCCUGCACAGCAAUACACACUGAACAAUGUCGAGUUUCUGCUGAAUAGACUUCCUACGUUGCUCUGGAAUUCGAAGUUGGCCUAACUGAGGUCUCCAGUUACAGAAAACACUGGCUCUGUAUCCUGGGCUUUGAGAAAACUUAUCAGGCUGUCACACUUACCAUCCCUUCAGUCUGCUUGUCAGGUUCCUUAAGGACGCAUAUCUCAAAUGUAUGGCAUCUACCUCUACCUGGGUCACAACCAAGUGGGUUUCUACUAGAUCGGUGUUCCUUGACAGCCAACAAGGGAGCUGACACUGCCCUCCUAAGUUCUGAUCUUGCUCCUGUUCAACUGGAACUUGAUGGAUCCCAUGUGGUUUCCCCCAUCCUGACGCUGUGGCUCAGACACUCUCCCUAAGCUGGUCCUUCCCUCCAAAUCCUGCCUUAAACACACUCAGAAGGUAGAAAACACUUCAGCAGCAAAGUCCUCUUCCCAAGCCAACAGUUGUGUUCUUCCAAUCACAUGAUCUUACCUUUUCAAUAAAAGGCAAAACAAACCAAUUUCCAACAUAGCAUUACAGCCUUUAAAACCAUUCACUUCUCAUAGUGAUUCACAGAGAACAAGAGAUUAAAGUGCUGGAUUUUAAAUGUCUAAA